rnacentral:rRNA from 1 species
UACGUAGGGUGCGAGCGUUGUCCGGAAUUAUUGGGCGUAAAGAGCUUGUAGGUGGUUUGUCGCGUCUGCUGUGAAAAUCCGGGGCUCAACCCCGGACUUGCAGUGGGUACGGGCAGACUAGAGUGUGGUAGGGGAGACUGGAAUUCCUGGUGUAGCGGUGGAAUGCGCAGAUAUCAGGAGGAACACCGGUGGCGAAGGCGGUUCUCUGGGCCUUACCUGACACUGAGGAGCGAAAGCGUGGGGAGCGAACAGG